rnacentral:rRNA from 1 species
UGGGGAAUUUUGGACAAUGGGGGAAACCCUGAUCCAGCCAUGCCGCGUGAGUGAAGAAGGCCUUCGGGUUGUAAAGCUCUUUCAGCCGGAACGAAACGGUCACGGCUAAUACCUGUGAUCACUGACGGUACCGGAAGAAGAAGCACCGGCUAACUACGUGCCAGCAGCCGCGGUAAUACGUAGGGUGCGAGCGUUAAUCGGAAUUACUGGGCGUAAAGCGUGCGCAGGCGGUUUUGUAAGUCAGAUGUGAAAUCCCCGGGCUUAACCUGGGAACUGCGUUUGAAACUACAAGGCUAGAGUGUAGCAGAGGGGGGUGGAAUUCCGCGUGUAGCAGUGAAAUGCGUAGAGAUGUGGAGGAACACCGAUGGCGAAGGCAGCCCCCUGGGUUAACACUGACGCUCAGGCACGAAAGCGUGGGGAGCAAACAGGAUUAGAUACCCCAGGUAGUCCACGCCCUAAACUAUGUCAACUAGUUGUCGGGCCUUAAGGGCUUGGUAACGCAGCUAACGCGUGAAGUUCG